rnacentral:lncRNA from 1 species
GCUUGCACCAUCAACUGUUCCAGUGGCUACCACAGCUGUCAAAACAGACAAAUGGAAAUCAUCGGUCACAUCCCAGAACCUCGUCUCUCCUGGUCUGCCUUGUGCGCCCCCCGACUCUCCAUCCCUUCUUUGGCUAAACAGGAAGCUGCCCCCUCUUCCUCCACUGCACUUGUCAUGUCCUCUUGGAUUCUGACGUGCUUAUACCCAAGCUGCUAACUAAGGAGAGGAGACUUCGGAGCUGUUCUCAAACCAGGAGCAUGCUUUUAAAUGGUACCUUCUGGAACCAUCAUUGGAAGCAAGUGAUGAGCGUUUCAGGCUGGAGGUGUGUAAUUCAGUUGGAAGAGUGCUUGCCACGCAUGAAUACAUCCCUCGAUUUGAUCCCUUGAAUAGCAUAAACCAACCAUGCGAGCACACACCUAUCCUCAGCAUCUCAGGCGGCGGAGGCAGGAAGAUCAGAAGUUGAAGGUCAUUCUUGGCUACACAGAGCGAUGAAGGGGAACCCUGUCUCAAAAUGAUAGCACAAUACAGGUUAAAAAUAAGGCCCAACUAGAAGUGGUUUAGUUUAAAGAGAUCAUUUAGGCCGUUGUCAUAAUCCAGCUGUAAAAUGAUAAUGGUAUGGACUAAGAUUAUAGCUAUAGGCGGAGAGACAGGAGUUCUCUAAUGAAGUUCCUACAACUUAUGACUGGAUGCAACAUCUGCUUUCUGCACAACUGUCAUGGAUACUCUACUGGGGAGUUUUUCUACCGCCACUUGCAUGUUAAACACUGAGCUACAUCUCCAGCCCUCUUUUUACUGUUAAUUUUGAAACAAGGUCUUUGAGCAAACUGUGUUGCCCAAAUUGGCCAUGAACUCACCCUGCAGCCCAGGCUGGCCUUCAACUUUCAGUCAUCCUGCCUCAGCUUCCCCAGUGUAAAUACCGACCUUGGAGGAGUGUUUACCCACCUACUGAGGGAGGAGAAUAGGCUAAAGAGAGCCUGGUGGCGUCUUCGAGUGAAAAUGUUGACGACAUCACCAGCUUUGGUGGAGAAUAAGAGCUGAAGUGCUGGUACUGAGCUCAGAACGAAUGUAGGAAGUGAAGAGAACCGGCCAAGAAAGGCAGGGAGGGAACCAAGGAGCCCAAGUGUCACUGACCGAAACAAUACAGGAAUAGUGAAAAUUGUCACAUAGACAAAAAGAAAAGUACUAAAAUGUGCAAACCUCACCCCCCAUCCCUGGCUGUAAUCAUAGAAAGGCCCUAGUAGGCUCUCUUCAGAGUGGCUCGCCAUGAUUGGCAAGUACUAGGAAGACUGUGAGGCCAGGCGUGAAAGGAAGACAACUUAUAACCAAGAGGCCACCACUGCUCUAAUUUCCUAUUUCCUAUAGGAAUUCUACAGAUAGAGGUAGCAAUCCUGGAGCCGCUGCCCAGUAAGCAGGAGAGUGAUCAGACACUCGCUAGCAUUAAAGGGCUCUGAGGUUCAAAAUGACUAUAUGAAAAUGACUAUAUGAAAUCUCCACUUUCUUGGCAUUAAGUUUGCUUCCUGCUGCACAGCAUAUUUGGAAUUUGGGGAUUUCUUUUUAUUUUUGUUUUCUGACAGGGUCUCUCUAGCCCUGGCUGUCCUAGAACUCACUAUAUAGACCAGGAUACCCUGGACCUCCUAGAGAUCUGUGUGCCUCUGCCUCCUGAGUGCCAAAGUUAAAGGGUAUCCCACCAUGCCUGGUUGCAUUUUUAGUUUUCCAUGUAAAGACAGUGUUUCAAGUUGGGUGUGCAGGCUCACACCUACUGUCUCAGCAUGCAGGAGACUGAAGCAGGGGGCCUUGGGGCUGGAAAUCCAUUUGAGCUACAGGAUGAGUACCAGACCAGCCUGGGCUACAGCCUGAAACCCUGGCUCAAAACCCAAAAAUAAACAAUCACAAUAUUCUAAACUUCCUGUGGUGAGCAGAGGUAUUCAGACAUAAAGCAUAUCUCAUCCUGCCCUCCCCAGCCCCGAGGUUCUGUGCACUCCCUAGAAUAGUACUUUUGUACCAAGCCAGUUACAGCCUGACUUGUAGCUAUUGCAGCUGCUGGCUGGGGUGGGGCUUGCGGCCCUGAAGCCAAGCAUCCAGCCAAGGGGAGUUUACCCAAGACAUCCAGUCUCAUUAGCCACUGCAACAUUUUUCCUUCCUUAAAGCAAAGCUCUUUCCUCUUAAUUAACUACUUUUCUUUUGGAAUCUACUAUGUCUUCAUGACUUCCUCCCUGCCUGCUUAUUGAAAGCCUCCAUAGACUAUUGCAUGUUGAAGACAAUUUAAUUUCGGACAAUCCACAUCAAGCAAGAAAUGUAACUUGCUCAUGUCAAAAUGCUUCAUUUUGGAGAAGUGAUUAGAAGAAAUAACAAUUGGCAAGCUACUGCAUGACAAAUGUAGAGAAGGCUUAUCCUGGAAAUGAUCAGUUUAAAUGUGUGCUAUUUUCAGUUAAGGGUGAGAGAUAGGAUUUGUUUUCUGUUUGUUUGUUUGUGUGUGUGUGUGUGUUUGUUUGUCUUAAAAUGGGGUCUCACUGUGUGGCACUAGCUGGCCUGGGACACCAAGUAGAUCAGGCUGACAUCAAACUUCUGUGUGCUGGAAUUAAAGUUAUGAUCCACCAUGUUUGUUAAUGGCUUCAUGUUUGUUAAUGGCAUCUUAGAAACAAAUUUGACAGCAAAUUUAUCAUAUUGCCUAUUAAAAAAAUAAGCAUUCCAGCUUCCUAAGGAAUUCUCUAUAAAACUUCUACAUAAUUAUCUAUCUUUCCUAACCAGAGGAUUUCUCCCUCUAGCUAUAUCUAUGUUAAGUGAAACAUAUAUAUAAGUGCUUAAAUAAUUAAAUAAAGUCAUGUGUUCUAAGAGGCCCUCGAGGUAGAUCGUAGAGCAAUUAUAGGAAUUAUUUUACCAUAAUAUUUUACUUUCCUAAAAGACAUUGAUGUCUGCAAAAUUAAAUAAAACAAGCUU